GUACUACUCCCUCCGUCCGAAAAUACUUGUUAUCAAAAUGAACAAAAAACGAUGUAUUUAGAACUAAAAUACAUUUAGAUACAUCCUCUUUUAUUCAUUUUAAUGAAAAGUAUUUCCAGACAAAGGGAGUAUGAG
rnacentral:pre_miRNA from 1 species